rnacentral:rRNA from 1 species
GACGGCUCAGUAACACGUGGAUAACUCUGCCCUUAGGUGGAGGAUAACCUCGGGAAACUGAGAAUAAUACUCCAUAGGUCUAGGAUGCUGGAAUGCACUUAGACUUAAAACUUCGGUGCCUAAGGAUGAGUCUGCGGACUAUCAGGUUGUAGUCAGGGUAAAGACCUGACUAGCCCACGACGGAUAUGGGUUGUGAGAGCAAUAACCCAGAGAUGAUAUCCGAGACACGAUAUCAGGCCCUACGGGGCGCAGCAGGCGCGAAAACUUCACACUGCGCGAAAGCGCGAUGAGGGAAUCCCAAGUGCUUGCACGUAAGUGUAAGCUGUUUCUAUGUUUAAAUUGCAUAGAGAGUAAGGGCUGGGUAAGACGGGUGCCAGCCGCCGCGGUAAUACCUGCAGCUCAAGUGGUGACCGUUAUUAUUGGGCCUAAAACGUCCGUAGCCGGUCUAUUAAAUGCCUGGGUAAAUCGGACCGCUCAACGGUUCGAAUUCCGGGUAGACUGAUAGACUUGAGACUGGGAGAAGCUAGAGGUACUCCUGGGG